UACGAAGGGGGCUAGCGUUGCUCGGAAUCACUGGGCGUAAAGCGCACGUAGGCGGACUCUUAAGUCGGUGGUGAAAUCCUGGAGCUCAACUCCAGAACUGCCUUCGAUACUGAGAGUCUCGAGUCCGAGAGAGGUGAGUGGAACUGCGAGUGUAGAGGUGAAAUUCGUAGAUAUUCGCAAGAACACCAGUGGCGAAGGCGGCUCACUGGCUCGGUACUGACGCUGAGGUGCGAAAGCGUGGGGAGCGAACCGG
rnacentral:rRNA from 1 species